GCGGCGUGCUAUACAUGCAAGUCGAGCGAACUGAUUAGAAGCUUGCUUCUAUGACGUUAGCGGCGGACGGGUGAGUAACACGUGGGCAACCUGCCUGUAAGACUGGGAUAACUUCGGGAAACCGAAGCUAAUACCGGAUAGGAUCUUCUCCUUCAUGGGAGAUGAUUGAAAGAUGGUUUCGGCUAUCACUUACAGAUGGGCCCGCGGUGCAUUAGCUAGUUGGUGAGGUAACGGCUCACCAAGGCAACGAUGCAUAGCCGACCUGAGAGGGUGAUCGGCCACACUGGGACUGAGACACGGCCCAGACUCCUACGGGAGGCAGCAGUAGGGAAUCUUCCGCAAUGGACGAAAGUCUGACGGAGCAACGCCGCGUGAGUGAUGAAGGCUUUCGGGUCGUAAAACUCUGUUGUUAGGGAAGAACAAGUACGAGAGUAACUGCUCGUACCUUGACGGUACCUAACCAGAAAGCCACGGCUAACUACGUGCCAGCAGCCGCGGUAAUACGUAGGUGGCAAGCGUUAUCCGGAAUUAUUGGGCGUAAAGCGCGCGCAGGCGGUUUCUUAAGUCUGAUGUGAAAGCCCACGGCUCAA
rnacentral:rRNA from 2 species